AGCGAACGCUGGCGGCAGGCCUAACACAUGCAAGUCGAACGAAGUCUUCGGACUUAGUGGCGGACGGGUGAGUAACACGUGGGAACGUACCUUUUGGUUCGGAACAACUCAGGGAAACUUGAGCUAAUAACGGAUGAGCCCUUAGGGGGAAAGAUUUAUCGCCGAAAGAGCGGCCCGCGUUAGAUUAGCUAGUUGGUGAGGUAACGGCUCACCAAGGCUACGAUCUAUAGCUGGUCUGAGAGGAUGAUCAGCCACACUGGGACUGGGACACGGCCCAGACUCCUACGGGAGGCAGCAGUGGGGAAUCUUGCGCAAUGGGCGAAAGCCUGACGCAGCCAUGCCGCGUGAAUGAUGAAGGUCUUAGGAUUGUAAAAUUCUUUUACCAGGGACGAUAAUGACGGUACCUGGAGAAAAAGCCCCGGCUAACUUCGUGCCAGCCGCCGCCGUAAUAC
rnacentral:rRNA from 1 species